GACGAACGCUGGCGGCGUGCUUAACACAUGCAAGUCGAACGGAAAGGCCCUGCUUUUGUUGCGUUCUCGAUUGGCGAACGGGUGAGUAACACGUGAGUAACCUGCCCUUGACUUUCGGAUAACUUCUGGAAACUGGGGCUCAUACCGGAUAUGAUCUCCUGCUGCAUGUUGUUGGUUGGUAAGUUUCGGCGGUUCUGUAUGGUCUCGCUGCUUAUCCGCUUCUUGGUGAGGUAGUGGCUUACCAAGGGUUUGACGGCUAGCCGGCCUGAGAGGGUUGCCGGCGACAUUGGGACUGAGAGACGGAGCAGAAGGGUACGGGAGGCAGCAGGGGAGAAUAUUGCGGAAUAGGCGGGAGCGUGAUGCAGAAACGCCGGGUGCGGAAUGACGGGCUUCGGGUUGUAAACCGCUUUGGAAGGUGACAAAGAGUGAGUGACGGUAAUGGGUAAAGAAGCAACGGCUAACUACGUG
rnacentral:rRNA from 1 species